GAAAUGCGAUAAGUAAUGUGAAUUGCAGAAUUCAGUGAAUCAUCGAAUCUUUGAACGCACAUUGCGCCCGCCAGUAUUCUGGCGGGCAUGCCUGUUCGAGCGUCAUUUCAACCAUCAAGCCCACGGCUUGUGUUGGGGACCUGCGGCUGCCCGCAGGCCCUGAAAAACAGUGGCGGGCUCGCUGUCACACCGAGCGUAGUAGCAUACAUUCUCGCUCAGGGCGUGCUGCGGGUUCCGGCCGUUAAACGACCUUCAUAACCCAAGGUUGACCUCGGAUCAGGUAGGAAGACCCGCUGAACUUAAGC
rnacentral:misc_RNA from 1 species